rnacentral:rRNA from 1 species
GACGAACGCUGGCGGCGUGCUUAACACAUGCAAGUCGAACGAUGAACCCGGAGCUUGCUCCGGUGGAUUAGUGGCGAACGGGUGAGUAACACGUGAGUAACCUGCCCUUGACUCUGGGAUAACUGCGGGAAACUGUAGCUAAUACCGGAUACGACCCUCGGCGGCAUCGCCAGGGGGUGGAAAGAAUUUCGGUCAAGGAUGGACUCUCGGCCUAUCAGCUAGUUGGUGAGGUAACGGCUCACCAAGGCGACGACGGGUAGCCGGCCUGAGAGGGUGACCGGCCACACCGGGACUGAGACACGGCCCAGACUCCUACGGGAGGCAGCAGUGGGGAAUAUUGCACAAUGGGCGCAAGCCUGAUGCAGCAACGCCGCGUGAGGGAUGACGGCCUUCGGGUUGUAAACCUCUUUUAGUAGGGAAGAAGCGAAAGUGACGGUACCUGCAGAAAAAGCACCGGCUAACUACGUGCCAGCCGCCGCGGUAA